AUUGAACGCUGGCGGAAUGCUUUACACAUGCAAGUCGAACGGACUUCAAAGGGCUUGCUCUUUGAAGUUAGUGGCGAACGGGUGAGUAACAUAUAGGAACGUACCCAGUAGAGGGGGAUAACGACUCGAAAGAGUUGCUAAUACCGCAUACGCCCUGAGGGGGAAAGUGGGGGACCGGAAACGGCCUCACACUAUUGGAGCGGCCUAUAUCUGAUUAGCUAGUUGGUAGGGUAAAGGCCUACCAAGGCGACGAUCAGUAGCUGGUUUGAGAGGAUGAUCAGCCACACUGGGACUGAGACACGGCCCAGACUCCUACGGGAGGCAGCAGUGGGGAAUUUUGGACAAUGGGCGCAAGCCUGAUCCAGCCAUUCCGCGUGAGUGAAGAAGGCCUUCGGGUUGUAAAGCUCUUUAGUCAGGGAGCAAAUCCUGCUUGUAAAUAAUGAGUGGGGAUGAGAGUACCUGAAGAAUAAGCACCGGCUAACUACGUG
rnacentral:rRNA from 1 species